CAGGGAGGAGUGGACAAGGCUGGGUCGGGCUGGUGCUGCAGAGAGCCAGUGGCGUUGAUGUGGCCCCACCCUAGGGCAGGAAGACAAUACCAGGCAGGGCAGGGCAAGGCAGCGGUGGGUGACCCUGGCUGAAGUCCAGAGACCCCUGCUUCCUUUUGGGAGACGGCUUUCACAGCACGCCUUGGCAUCUGGUGGGGCAAACAAUGGAGGCUUCUGGCAGCCGCAGAGAGCAAGGCAUGGUGAGAGGCAUGGACAGCUCCCCACCACCCGUGAAGCUGAAUUGGACGGGAUACAGGGCUGGGGUGAGCUGGAUGUGCAGUCUUGAAGGAAUCCUACGCUUCAUGAAUGAGGAUUUGACAUCUGGCAGAGGUCUUUAUGAACACAUUUAUGAUCAUCCUUCAAAGCAACCACAUGAAAUGGGCCAGGGGCUUGUUCUCUUUUAGCAGACAGACGGGUUGAGUCACCACAAGAUGCUGUUAUGGUUUAAAUGUGUGGAGCUAUAUAUAUACAUACACACAUACACAUGUAUAUAUCAAUCAAGCUAUACUUAUCCCCAAUAACAGAGAGGAAAAAUAUAUUAUUAGAAUAAGAGCCGCAUAUUUUGGAAAACUUACCAUGUGCCAGAGACUGUUCUAAUUAUUUUAUAAACAUGUCUCUUGUGGUUUUCAAGAUAACUAUAGAAGGUAACUAUUAUUACUUUUUAACAAAUGAAAGCAAACCUCAGGUUAAGUGACUGGCCCAAGGUCACACAGCAAGCAGUGACAGAGCUAAGUUGCGCUGGCUCUAAAGACCAUGUGUUAUCAACAGCGUCCUCCUGCCUUCUUAUGAAAUGGAAUCCAUAUCAAACUGCUAAGCUUUGUUUUUAGCAAAUAACAUGACUGUCUGGGCUGUGGGCUUAAGGAACAGUGAGUUUGGGGGCAAAGGUCACCCUCUAAUAGUGCUUCAUAAUAUUUCUCCCAGAGAAAGACUCUGGAGCCAGGCAGAUCUGGAUCCAGAUUCCAGUUCUGCCACUUCCUAGCUGUGUCCUCUCACUGAGCUCUCAGAGGCCUCCUUGGCCCGCAUGCUCAGUGGAGUGUCUGGUUGGCCCCGCAGCCCUUGUGUCCAGAUCUGCUGGGCGACACAGUGCCUGGCUGUGCCCUGCAGAGGCUUUCCUGUCCCUGGCUCCCAUGCUUCCCCUGAGGAGAGCAGGCGAUGGGUGUCAGCUUAUGUGAGCCCUUUGGUUGCAUGGAUCGGGUGAAAAACAGACAGAGCUGAAGAAUUUGAACUGAGAUGUCAAUUGUGGAGCAGGAUUACUCAUAGCAGCCACCGCCCACUAGGCCAGAACACCUUCGUUUAAACAAACCAACAUCCCAGGGGACAGUGCCUGUUGAGCAAGCUGCUGAGAGCCCUUCACUAGUGCUGAGUCCUCAGGCCUGCAGGGGACACUCCACAUCUGACCCUGCAGGAGAGCGGUGUCCAGGAGCAGGCACCUCAGAUCCAUCCAAGUCACACAGGGAGGCCAGAAGGGCAGCGGGGACACUGAACGCUCUACACGUCCUGAGGUCCCUGACCUCAUAGGCUGGAGGGGAGCAUUUGCUUUGUCUUGUGGAAAGUCCCCAAGUGGAUGGGCUAACAAUCGAUUCCAGUUGCACCCACGCUGCUAACUCUGGCCAUGUUUCCUAUACUUCCGUUCCUGUGAUCCAUCUCUUGCCCCUUCCAGAUCAGACAGUGACCUCCCGGGCCUCCUGGGGAUGCAGUUGUCCUCCCUGCACUCAGAUCUGGAGCUGCUGCUUCCUAGCGGAGGAGUCAGCCUACCGAGCCAGGCCGUUGUCAAGCCCUGAGCCCUCCCCACUUCCGCCUCUGCCCGCUUUCCUGUCCCAGCUGUGAGCCUCUCCGGGGACUCAUUUAAACUGAAGACAAUUGCCUCAGAUAAAGAACAACUGGCCUCCUCCCUAUGUGGCUAAAAUUAUCAAAAACCGAAGAGGGCGUUGCUGACCUCAGCCUUCCCCAGCCUUUCUCCUGCCUUGGUCCACUUGAAUAUCCCUCUGGGAGCCUGUGACAGCUGCCUACGUGGGACCCCACACAGAAACGGGGCUGAAGAAGGCAGUCCCAGCCUCGCAAGGCAUUCAGUUCCUGCAGUGUCUGCAGCCAAAUCCCAAGAUAGAGCCAGUCUGCUUGGUUCCCUGGCCCCAGGUUUCUCAGAGCUCCUCCGGCAGCCCAGGAGGCUGAGCUGCACUGCCUGCAUUUCCUGGCUUCACAUCACGUACACAUAGAGCUUGGGGCCCGGGCAACCAUGGCAUGGAAGCCCAGACCACCUAAAUUCUUCCUUAGGACCACCAGUGCCAUUGCCUCAGCCAUAACCCCCUGAGACUCCUCGCGGACCAGCAUGGCGACUGGUCCCACAACCAUCUCCAUGCCUGCUUCCUCUUCCCCAUUCAAGCUUCUCAACAUCUGUCAUUCUUGGUGUUAGCUAUAUCCCAGCUCCUGUAUUAUUCCAUUGCAUCCAGAAUGCUUUGAGGAAGGAAUGUCAUAGACCCCCUUUUUUAACCCCCUCUUCCCAGAGAGAUGUGCUCAGGAAUAGGUGCCCAACAGGAAGUAUUUGAUUGAGAGCUUAUUUGUCCCUCCAGGAGAUAUUCAAGGAGAGCCCCCAUCCAGACCCCAAGCGAGAAGAGCUACCGUGUCUCACAGGGCCCACAGCCCAUCACCCACAUCAUCCCACGGAGGGCGGGGAUUAUGCCCAGUGUGCAGAAGGGUUGACAAAGGCCAGGUAGGGGAAGUGGCUGGCUCUGCUUACAUGGACCCAAGACUCACUCCAGAACCCCUGACCUUCCGCUGAAGGAUCUUUGCACCAACUCUCCUGGCCCCAGUGGGUCUGGCUCACCAGAAGUUAGGCCUGGAAGGGAGGAGGCUGGGUGGGGGGACAUAGAAGGCAAAAGCAGCAGUGUCCUCACAUGGAACUGUUCCUCCAGGUCCUUUCCCUGGGACCCCUCCCUGGAGAGCUCUCCCUGCUCUCUCUGGCUUCCUUUCCCUUCUGUCAACCCUAAUAGCAUAGGUUUUGGUGUCAGGCAGUCCUGCGUUGGAAUCUCAGAUUCCCAGGGACAGUCAUGAUUUAUACGUGUUGUCCCGGUAUACUAAUACAUCAAGGCUCCUUGUCACCCUCAAACAUGCGCAUUAGGACCAUGCAUCAUGUGUCCCGCUUACAAAGACAGAAGGCAAGGUCUGUGGACAGCUGGAGGAUGACCUAGUUAGGGAGCCUCUAGGAACCCAUCUAGUUCUGCGAUGGAGGGGAACAGAGAAUGGGGUGUUUCCCUGAUGACCCUGCUGUGGAGGAGCUGGCUGCUUCUGCAGGGAGAUGCUGCAGCCCCAGAAGGAAGCCCUGGCCAUGUGUCUCAAGUUGCUUUGCAAAACAAGCACCAGGAAAGAAAAACAGCAUCUAUAUUUCCCUGAGGUGGGCCAGCAUCCAGAGGCUGAAGGCACCUGGGGAUAGGGACACUACAUCACACACUUCAGGGGGUGCCAGUCAUGUCACGGUCUGUGUGAACGGUGCCUCCUGGGAAUGUACAGCUCCCAGCCUGCUCACUGCAAAGCAGGAAUUGGUGAGCUGUGACUAGAUGAUGUCAGAGAGCAAGAAUAAGUAAGGACCAGGAAAGCUACAAAAUAUAGAAGACUACAUCUUUUUUAAAUUAAUUAAUUAGUUAAUUUAUUUAUUUAUUUAUUAUGUUUUGAGACAGAGCCUUGCUCUGUUGCUCAGGCUGGAGUGCAGUGGUAUGAUCUCUGCUCACUGCAACCUCCAUCUACCAGGUUCAAGCAACUCUCCUGCCUCAGCCUCCUGAGUAGCUGGGAUUACAGGCGCUCAUCACCAUGCCCAGCUAAUUUUUGUAUUUUUAGUAGAGACAGGGUUUCACCAUGUUUGCCAGGCUGGUCUCAAACUCCUGACCUUGUGAUCCAUCUGCCUCAGCCUCCCAAAGUGCUGGGAUUACAGGCAUGAGCCACCAUGCCCAGCCGAAAGCCUACAUCUUUAAGGAGAGGAAUCAUUCUGUCUGGGGAGGAACUCCUUUAAAUCAGUUCAACUCAACUCAUAUGAACAAAUAUUGAUCAUGCAAUUACUGUGCGCUCUGCUGGGCAAGGCCAUUAUGGUGGGGGUGGCGGUGGGGUGAUCAGGCAUCCUGAUCAGGCAGGGGUGAUCAGGCAGGCGGUGGGGUGAUCAGGCAUUGAGAAGCUCAUAGGACAGGAGGGGAGUGCGCAGGGUCUGUCCCUUCCUCUCCCCAGGCAGA
rnacentral:lncRNA from 10 species